rnacentral:rRNA from 1 species
CCUACGGGAGGCAGCAGUAGGGAAUAUUGCUCAAUGGGGGAAACCCUGAAGCAGCAACGCCGCGUGGAGGAUGAAGGUUUUCGGAUUGUAAACUUCUUUUUUUAUAGAAGAUAAUGACUUUAUCUAACGAAUAAGCACCGGCUAACUCCAUGCCAGAAGCGGCUGUAAUACGGAGGGUGCAGGCGUUACUCGGAAUCACUGUGCGUAAAGAGCGCGUAGGCGGGAUAGUAAGUCAGAUGUGAAAUCCUAUGGCUUAACCAUAGAACUGCAGUUGAAACUGUUAUUCUAGAGUAUGGGAGAGGUAGGCGGAAGUCGUGGUGUAGCGGUAAAAUCCGUAGAGAUCAAGAGGAACACUGAUUGCGAAGGC